rnacentral:rRNA from 1 species
AAAAUUUUAAAGGUCGAACAGACCUAAUCUUAAAGCUCCUUCACCUUAAAUUAAUUUUAAUCCAACAUCGAGGUCGCAAUCUUCUAUUUCAAUAAGAUCUUUAUUAGAAAUUACG